GGUGAACGGAGCACUGCGAAGACUGAAAAUUAUGUGGGCUGUUCGCUGUGUUGUGGCAUUCGGGCAAAGCAAGAUCGCGGCUCUACAAGUUGAUGGAAUUGGAAGUGGAAGAGCUACAGUUGUUGUCUUCCUCUCAGCUGAUGGACAUACAUGCAUAUGUCCCGUACAGACUCCUCAACUGUCUUGUGAUCAGGCUGCGGAGUUCACUAUUGUUCGACGAUUUUGAAGAUGAUAGUCAAGAUCUGGAGCCUUGAUAAAAC